rnacentral:lncRNA from 1 species
AUGGUGGCAGUUGCUGUGCUUGGAGCUGUAGCUGAGAUAUCAGCUGGAACUGUAGUGGUGGCCAGAACAUUCAUGGUUGUAAUGGGUGCAGAUGGGGUUCUUGGAGAUUCAGUUGUUUUUGUUGGAGUUAAAGUUGGUAAUAUAGUUACAUGUGAUGAGGAGAUAGGCAAAAUUGUUACAGCAAUAGUUAUGAUCUCUGGAGACACAGUUGUGAUUAUUGCAGGUGCAUUUGUUGUGGUAAUGUGUGUUGCCUGGCUUAGAGCUGGAACUAUAUUAGUGAAAGCAACAGUUGUGCUUGAUAGAGGUGCAGUUGUUAUUUGGAAUGCAGUUGUUGUUGCCACUGUAGGAGUGUUCUUGCUUGAUGUCGUUGGAUCAUUAGUUGUUUUAGAUGUGGUUGAUGAAGCUGUAGUUGUGGUCUCUGCUGUUGUACUUUCUGAAGUGGUAGGCAGUGUUGUUGAAGUAAUGGGUGUGGUUUCUGUACUCACAACUGUGGAGGUGGGAGUUUCAGUAGUUGGGGAUGCUGUAGUUAUUGAUCUUGUUACAGGUGCAGUUGUUUCUGAAGAUGUAGGCAUUGUUGAAGUAAGAGUUGUGGAUUCUGAAGUUACAGCUGUUGAUGUCGUUGGAUCAUUUGUUGUUGUAGAUGUGGUUGAUGAAGCUGUAGUUGUGGUUUCUGCUGUUGUACUUUCUGAAGUUGUAGGCAUUGUUGUUGAAGUAAUAGUUGUGGUUUCUGUACUCACAACUGUGCUUGUGGGACUUUCAGUAGUUGAGUGUGCUGUAGUUACUGAUGUUGUUAUAGGUGAGUUGUUGAAGUAAGAUUUGUGAAUUCUGAAGUUACAGCUCUUGAUGUUGUUGGAUCGUUUGUUGUUGUAGAUGUGGUUGAUGAAGCUGUAGUCAUGGGUUCCGCUCUUGUACUUUCUGAAGUUGUAGGCAAUGUUGUUGAAGUAAAUGUUGUGGAUUCUGGAGUUACUGCUGUUGAUGUUGUUGGAUCGUUUGUUGUUGUAAAUGUGGUUGAUGAAGCUGUAGACGUGGUUUCCACUGUUGUACUUUCUGAAGUUGUAGGCAGUGUUGUUGAAGUAAUAGGUGUGGUCUCUGUACUCACAACUGCGGUUGUGGGAAUUUCAGUAGAUGAGGAAGCUGUAUUUACUGAUGUUGUUACAGGUGCAGUUGUAUCUGAAGAUGUAGGCAUGGUUGUUGAAGUAAGAGUUGUGGGUUCAGAAGUUACAGCUGCUGAUGUUGUUGGAUCAUUUAUUGUUGUAGAUGUGGUUGAUGAAGCUGUAGUCGUAGGUUCCGAUCUUGUACUUUCUGAAGUUGUAGGCAAUGUUGUUGAAAUAAAUGUUGUGGAUUCUGGAGUUACUGGUGUUGAUGUUGUUGGAUCGUUUGUUGUUGUAGAUGUGGUUGAUGAAGCUGUAGUUGUGGUCUCUGCUGUUGUUCUUUCUGAAGUCACAGGCAGUGUUGUUGAAGUAAUAGUUGUGGUUUCAGUCCUCACAACUGUGCUUGUGGGACUUUCAGUAGUUGAGUGUGCUGUAGUUACUGAUGUUGUUACAGGUGCAGUUGUAUCUGAAGAUGUAGGCAUGGUUGUUGAAGUAAGAGUUGUGGGUUCAGAAGUUACAGCUGUUGAUGUUGUUGGAUCGUUUUUGUUGUAGACGUGGUUGAUGAAGCUGUAGUCGUGAUUUCCACUGUUGUACUUUCUGAAGUUGUAGGCAGUGUUGUUGAAGUAAUAGAUGUGGUCUCUGUACUCACAACUGUGGUUGUGGAAAUUUCAGUAGUUGAGGAUGCUGUAUUUACUGAUGUUGUUACAGGUGCAGUUGUUUCUGAAGAUGUAGGCAUAGUUGUUGAAGUAAGAGUUGUGGGUUCAGAAGUUACAGCUGUUGAUGUUGUUGGAUCGUCUGUUGCUGUAGAUGUGGUUGAUGAAGCUGUAUUCGUGGUUUCUGCUGUUGUACUUUCUGAAGUCAUAGGCAGUGUUGUUGAAGUAAUAGGUGUGGUCUCUGUACUCGUGGUCUCUGUACUCACAACUGCGGUUGUGGGAAUUUCAGUAGAUGUGGAAGCUGUAGUUACUGAUGUUGUUACAGGUGCAGUUGUUUCCGAAGAUGUAGGCAAAGUUGUUGAAUAAGAUUUGUGGAUUCUGAAGUUACAGCAUUUGAUGUUGUUGGAUCGUUUGUUGUUGUAGAUGUGGUUGAUAGAUUAAAAAAGUAAUGACACAUAAUUGAAAUCCAAACAAUCACUUACCCAACUCUAGUCGCAGAAUUAAUAGCACACCACACAAACACUGUAAAGAGAAACAAAUUCCUGAAAACCUUUCAAGAAUCUUUGUUUAUGUUUAGCCAAAAGAAAGUAGAACACAUUCUUUAUUCCAUAUACAUAUUCCAUUAAUAUGAUAAAUUACACACAUUUUACAUUUACAAUACUUACACAGGGUGAAUAAAAGUUUCCUUGUGCCAUCCUGACUAGAAAGAAAAAAACUGCUGAAAGAGGAUACAAGACAUUAGAUAUUAUUUUAAUUGUUGUACGAUUGAUAAUUUUAUCUUUCAUAAAAUAAUUUCUACAAAUGAGUAAAAUUUCGGAUCAGCAAUUUGAGUUACACAUAAGGUAGUGCAAUAAAUAACAAAAACGUAGCGGGUAUUUGUAUCUAUAGCUGGGCUUUUGUGAUUGCAGCCAAUGAAAAUGCUUCUUU